rnacentral:RNase_MRP_RNA from 1 species
GUCGCUGCACAUCACCACCUCAAGUUCCAACAUCCGUCCAAGCUGUAUACUAGCAUGCAAAGUCGGCGCGCGAAUCAUCAAAUCCUAAGUUCUGCCAAGACAUCACAAGCCU